rnacentral:rRNA from 1 species
AUUGAACGCUGGCGGCAGGCCUAACACAUGCAAGUCGAACGAGUGGCGGACGGGUGAGUAAUGGCUGUGAAACGGCCCGAUGGAGGGGGAUAACUUAUGGAAAAGUUAGCUAAUACCGCAUACCAUGGGGUGUACCAUGAUGGGAUUAGCUAGGAGGUGGGGUAACGGCUGACCGAGACGACGAUCCCUAGCUGGUCUGAGAGGAUGACCAGCCACACUGGAACUGAGACACGGUCCAGACUCCUACGGGAGGCAGCAGUGGGGAAUAUUGCACAAUGGGCGCAAGCCUGAUGCAGCCAUGCCGCGUGUAUGAAGAAGGCCUUCGGGUUGUAAAGUACUUUCAGCGAGGAGGCGUUACUCGCAGAAGAAGCACCGGCUAACUCCGUGCCAGCAGCCGCGGUAAUUC